CCAAGGAGCUGAUGAUAAUGAGAAUGAUGAGACAAGGGAUUAAGAUGAAGAUAAGGGAUGAAAAAGGACUAUGACGAUGAAGGAGGAAAGGCAAUACAAAGAGACACUUUUUAAAAGGUAAUCAAAAUGCGAACAAAUCUAUGGCCAAAGAUGAGUCUCUCCUGUACUCAUCCUCAUCCUCAUCGUACUCACUCAACUCCACUGUUUACCCAGUCUGAUAAUACAAUUUGGUUCACAUUUAUUGGUUAAUUGUGCUCAAUUUUGGUGGAGUCUAACAGCUUUCAAAGAUUCCAUUGGUUGUAACCUCUUGUUUCCACCCAUCAAUGGGAGUGACGCCAAUUAUUUCAUCUUCCUUUACCAUCAUCAUCAUGAUCAUCAUCACCACCACCACCAUUGCCAUCAUCUUCAUCAUCAUGAUCAUCAUCGUCAACAUCUUCCUUUUCUGAUUAACUUUGUUUCUUUUUCCUCUUUUCUUCUUCUUCUUUUUUCAUCUCAUUUUAUUCAUUUUCAUCAACCUUUAUCAUCUAAACCUUUUUGGGAGGAUGAAAGAGAGAUGAUUAUGAUGUAGUUGUUGUUGUUGGUGAUGAUGAUGAUGAAAAUAAGAAAGUAAAUUUAGCUCUGUAUCUUCUCUGUUUUUUUUCAGCUCAUCAUCUUCAUAUCUUUUUUUCUUGCCUCUUUUUUACCCUUUCUUUUGUUUUCUUGCUGUUUCUAAGCAAAAAUUAAUUCCUAAAUUCUGAUUGAUUAUCAACUGAAAUGAUAUCAAUAAUAUCAACAUGGUAAACUACGUCAACUAACUUACCAUUUCAUUGUAAUCAGAAUACAAAGUCCUUUUUGUUUGCUCUUUUCUUACAUCUUUUUUCUCGUUCCAUUUUAGAUUAACCUUUAUUAUUAACUUCAACUUUGAUUUGAUUUUCAUUUUACACUCAAAGUUUCAAUCAAUAUUUGAUUAAAUUGGAGGAAAGUCAAUGAAUAACUUGGUCAGAUUGUAAAAGACUCACGUUCAAAAUUGAUGCAGUUUUAACCUUUCAAAUACCUAAAGUGGUUAACACAAUUUAAAUUCACAAGAUUAACACCUUUAUUACAAUUCCAGUUUUUAUUUGGUCAAAUUACAAUUUCAAUGUCAAUAUAAACCAGUUUGAACCUUCACCUUUCUCCUGUUGUAAUCUGCAACAUCAACAAUUCCCUUGGUCACCAUUUUUCCUGCUUUCAAUGUUCAAUGAUAUGAUGAAUAUUAUUCUAUUCAAUUAAUCAUCUUAUUCUCAAUGGUCAUUUUAUCUGUAAUCAUUUUACAAAUGUAAUCAUUGUUUACAUACUAAUUGAACCGUGUUUGAGACAAUUUGAUUUAAUGUCGAGUAAAAACCAGUAAAAUGAUUAAUGAUUUUGCAUUGUUGCGCUAUAUUUUUGUUUUAAUUUGUCCAUUAUAUUAAAUUGUAAU